AAGACUUAAAUAGGACUAAAGUUCUAGAGUUAUCAAAGGGGAUGGGACUCCAUCUUUAAUGAGCCUUCCAGCAAUAGGAAUCCAAUCUCUAUGAUAGGAGACCCCUUAAAGGAGAUUCAAUAUAGUAAUAACAAGUUAAUUGGCUAGAUAGGGGUGGGCCACACACACAUACAUAUAUAUAUAAAAGUGAUUAAUCUACACCAUUUCUAUAGUGAUUAGUGCUCCUAUAUAGAUGUUAAGGAAAAGCAAAGCUUUGAAUGAGAUCUAAGAUGUAUUCUCUUUGAGAUGUGACUCUACACACAUCUUUAGAGGACUCAUAUGUAUGAGAGCUUCUGUAUAUGACCACGGCUAGAGAAAAUGGAUAAAUCCUAGGUGCUCUCAUGAACAACAAGAUACUUAUGCAUGCCCAAUAAC
rnacentral:lncRNA from 1 species